AAUACAUUUAAGGUAUCUCACUUUGUUUGGGGGUAUUGAGGUAUUGUCUGAAACCAUUUGUAAUUUAUGCAAUUUACAAUAUUUGAAGAUUACCAAGGAUUUUGGUUCUGUCUACACAAAAUUACCUCAAGGGAUAGGUAAAUUAAUUAACUUAAGACAUCUUAUUGGAGAAGAUUUCCUGAUUCCAAGAGGGAUUGGAAGAUUGAUUUCUCUUAGAACAUUAAAAUGUUUCAGCAUAAGUGACGAGGAUAGCAAAGGAUGUAAACUCGGAGAAUUAAAAAAUUUGAACCACCUGCAAGGGAGUUUUGGAAUACGUGGAUUGGGGAACGUGAUAGAUGUAAGUGAGGCCGAGAAUGCACAACUUAAGAAGAAGAUACAACUUCGUGAAAUGACACUAUCUUUUAAGAAAGGGAAGGAUAGAGGAUGGUGGGAUGAUCCGGUUCCAAAUGCGGUCGACCCCAAUGAUAGAAGAAUGGAGAGGGAUGUCUUAGUUUUAAAUGCCUUAGAGCCACCUCAAGACUUGGAGCAGUUAGACAUUCGUUGGUACCAGGGCACCACAAUGUCUCCUAAUUGGUUGAUGUCCUUGACCAAAUUGAAACUUGUUUCUAUCUUUUCGGCCACAAAGUUAACGAGUUUGCCUCCUUUGGGGAAGUUCCCGUUCCUCGAAUCAUUAACUAUAAGGAAUGUGUGUAGUUUGAAACAAGUGGGUGUUGAAUUUUUGGGAAUAGAAUCUGAAAACAAGAAAGAAGACAUAAAUGUAUUCCCAAAUUUGAAAUAUCUCAGGUUUGUGUGGUUGGAGGAGUUGGAAGAAUGGAUUGGGAUUGGAGGAAAAGAAGAUGCAGACUGCAUUACUGUAAUGCCUCGUCUUCAACGGUUGGAAAUUCAUGGCUGCGGAAAGUUAAAGUCACUGCCGGACUUCCUGCGUACAAUUCCAUUGAAUAAAUUGGAGAUCGCUGGCUGUCCAAUUAUCAAGGAACGUUGCCAAAGAGAGACAGGAGAGGACUGGCGCACCAUUUCUCACAUCCCAAUCAUCGAUCUUGAAGAACAUUCUUAUUAUUUAAGAUCAAGAUGAAAUCGUAAAAACUGCGCAUGAGCAAAGUUCUUCCUCAGCUUGAUUCGGCAUUGCAAGUCUGAACCAGUAAAGGGGAAUUAUAUUUUGUGCUUGAGCAAAAUUUCACACAUGGAUGCACUUUUGAGUAAGACCUACAGAAGAAACUCGUUCAUUUUAUUGUGGCAGUAAAGCUUGCAUAUCAUAUAACACAUGAAAGGUUAGGUAGGUACUUGACAAUCUACAACUUAUGCAGCCUUCUAUCCUUAAUUUUGAGGGUUUGAAUGUAUAGUUGCUAAUCUUCAGGCUUUGAUGUUUCAACUUUAAAGUUUGAUUUUGGAUGCACAUAGAUUUCUUGUCUUAGUGAAUAGUGAUGUGUUUCUUGUCGAUGAAGAUGAGGAAGAGUGAGAUGUACCACCAAGGGUAGAGGGCACAAUUUGAUAAAUACUUGCUAUUUGCUGCAAUCCAUAGUUGCCUAUUUUGAAAAGGACACCAUAAGAAGUGGAGAGGAGAAGAUAGGACCAGUCCAAACUUCCUUGAUCUAGGCACAUAAAUGUUACUUCUUGUAUAAGCAACUCUCCCCUUUCUAUUUCUUUUUAUUUUUUACUCUAUUGCUGCAUUUGUUUUUUGUUCCAUGGUCAAUCAUUUUAUUUUCCAACCUAAUAAUACCCUAGGAAUAUUUUGCUCUCCAUCAGUCUAGGAACAAUACCCUAGGAAUAUUUAACAAAAAUUGUGAUUUUGAAAACACUAUUUCACAAUUUGAAAUAAAAUCUUGUUUUUAGAACAUGAAUUCAAAUAAAAUGUGUAUAGAAUGUGAAAUAACGAGCGUGUUCCAAGACUUUCUCUUUUAACUAAACCAAUUCUAAUUUCCAGGUCACAAUUUCCUUUGCUUUGUCCAUCCCAACUGGUUUUGAAUGAAGGAGGGGACCCCUUCCAUCCAUGCAACCAUAAUUGAAGUGAAAACUUUGACUAAACCAAAAUAAGAGAAAGUCUAAGCACACGAACAAUUUGACAACAAGUUUCACACAUGUUGAGAUGUUUAGUCUGUAAUUUGAAUGUCAUUAAGUGAUGAUAACGGUGAUUCUAGAUGAAAUUGAUGUUGCUACCAUUUUAUCCUGCUAAGUGCUAAAAAAUUGUAAAAUUUAUUUUGUAGCAUUGCACCAUUUGUCACCAUCACAUGAACCUGCAUUUUUUCUCUGCAACUCAAAAUCUAAUACAUAGCACAGUUGUGGCAAAGUGCAAGCAAAAGUGUACAAAAAAUAUAUGCCGGACACUUUCUACGUCCCAAUAGUUCUAUUUGAUGACAAAGGGUUGAUGUUGCCUUGCCAGCACCAAUAAAACUGUCAGAAGGAGUGAAUCAUUGUAUCAUACUAAAAAUCAAAAUCAAAAUGGUGCUUUUACCCCUGAGAAGGUUCAAGUCCUUCAGUACUUGCAAUCUCAAAGUGGGACAUUUCCAGCAAGAUCAUUUUCACAAGAUGGUUUGUGGGGUACAGCUAUAGGUUUUCAAGAAAAUUUGGUUCUGGCAAGAAAUCUUCUUUGGAGAUUUAAGCUACCUGGUGGUUUAGAAGGAAAUGCCCCUUGGUUGAAACAGAGAAAGAUAGUUGUGCCUCGUAAGUAUGGACACAGCAUUGAAAAUGAUAAUCACUUGGACAGAGAUUUUCUUGUACAACUUUGAGUUGCUGAUAGGAAAAUGAAAAAUUAUAAGGGAAAAAGAAGGCAGAAAUUGGUUAAGUAUGGAAAUUUUUCUGGUACAGCAUAUGAAAACCAACAUGAAUAUGGAAGAUGGUAUUCAGGGGCACCUCUUUGCAGAACAGGAUUUUUUGGCCAAGGGCAAACCAGUUUUGAAUCAACCACCUCUGAGCCAAUCUGACUCAGCUUUUCUGCAGCCAGAAUCUCCAGAGGAGGCCCAGGUUGCACUCCUUCUUGCUAGGUCCAAUUUGUUGAUUACUAGGGAUAUAGAGUGGGCAAAUCUUAUGCUUGGUUUUGAGCAGAUUCUUUACUCUCAAUUCUAUUUGGUGGAACUGUUGGAAAACCGGUAUGCAAUUGUAGAUGUGUGCUACCCCCAGUCACCUGUAGGUUUUUUUCGUGAGUAAAGUAAUCUCAUUGCCAGACAGAUUGGUGGAACUCUAAUGGCACCAGAUGGAUUUGAAGCAUGGUCGCCAAAAACUAGUACGCAAGAGAGUCUGAUCUUCAUACGUAUCAUGUGAUGUUAUUGCACAGGGUUGGUCUUAUAGAUGGCAGAUGAGAGAAAUGGUAGAAUAUUCAUGGCAGGCAUGACAAAUUGAGCCUUUUUUAUUUCUAAUUAUACCUCGUUAAUAUUGACAUCCUAUAUUAAUGGAAUAAAUAUUGAUAAUGCUUUAAGAUGCAAACAAAAGUAGCUUGAAAUUAAUUUUGGAUGUUAAACUCUGUAGUUCUUUCAUUGAAGUUUUUAACUAUGCCAGCCAUAAGUUUUGCCUCUAGUUCUGAUUUGAAAGUAAGGGGACUUGAGCUAAGAUCAGCCCCAAGUUUAUUUUCAAUUCGAUCAUUUUCAAAAUAUCCAUUUAGAAUUGGUUAGCAUAAAAUCACUUGUUGAUAGUUCCAACACGGAUGGAAUUCAAUAAUUUGAAAAUAUACAAUUCAUUCAUAUACACUGGCAUAUUAUUCCACAAGCUCUCAAAUCCUAGUUCUUGUCUCCCCUAUGUAUUUACUAUUCUAAAAAGUUCACACUUUUGGGCUUAUACCUUCGAUGCAGGUGAUGAUUGUAUUGGAAAACAAUGUGGAUAUAAGGAAUGUUACAUGCAGCCAAAGUCAUGGACUUAGCAUUUGGCAGUCUUAGCAGAGAUAAAUCCCGAGCCAGCAUUUCAAACAGUGAGGGACUCAAUCAUCAAGCACUCUACUGAUGUUCGGAUUCCAAACAUAGCAAGUUGGCUCUGGUGUUGUAUCCAAAGUGACCUAUUUAAAACCCAAUUAUUUAAACCAAUACUACUGCCUCUGUGAAAAGUGCCCCAAUCAUACCUUUUCACUUACCAUUUCUGAUGCAUCAUACAAGAACAUGUAUGGUGCUUGUGACAUAAGAACCCUGCCUAUGCACAAUUCAAAGACACGCAGAAAUGUUACAAUUCUGGGAGUUGCAUUGCUUCCUGCCCAAGGAUAGAAACAUAUGAAUCCAUUUUUCAGGAAAGCUUAUGGCAGUAUACACACAAGAACUCGUCCACUAGUUUCCUGUUUGUU